rnacentral:rRNA from 1 species
UACCAGCACCCCGAGUUGUCGGGACGAUUAUUGGGCCUAAAGCAUCCGUAGCCUGUUCUGCAAGUCCUCCGUUAAAUCCACCUGCUUAACAGAUGGGCUGCGGAGGAUACUAUGGAGCUAGGAGGCGGGAGAGGCAAGCGGUACUUAGUGGGUAGGGGUAAAAUCCGUUGAUCCAUUGAAGACCACCAGUGGCGAAGGCGGCUUGCCAGAACGCACUCGACGGUGAGGGAUGAAAGCUGGGGGAGCAAACCGG